UACGUAGGUGGCAAGCGUUGUCCGGAAUUACUGGGCGUAAAGGGCGUGUAGGCGGCCUUUUAAGUCAGACGUGAAAACCCUGGGCUUAACCCAGGACCUGCGUUUGAUACUGGAGGGCUUGAGGAUCGGAGAGGACAGUGGAAUUCCCAGUGUAGCGGUGAAAUGCGUAGAUAUUGGGAGGAACACCAGUGGCGAAGGCGACUGUCUGGACGACACCUGACGCUGAGGCGCGAAAGCCAGGGGAGCAAACGGG
rnacentral:rRNA from 1 species